GAUAAAUACUCAUGGAAAGUCAACUUCUACAAAUUCCACAAAUGAUUCCUGUAUUUGGAGUAAUUCUGGUUAUAAAAGUGAAAUAGAUUGUAAGAAAGAGAGAAUAAAAGAGGAGAUUUGUGAUACUAAAUAUGAUAUAAAAUCGGAAUGUAAAGUUGUUUUGAGAAGAUUGAAU